CGCACAUUGCACCUUUUGGUAUUCCGAAAGGUAUGCCUGUUCGAGCGUCAUUUCACCUUCUCAGCAUUAAUUUGUUGGUAUUGGAUUUUUGAAAAAUUCAUAUUUUUCGAUCCCAAAGAUAAAGAUUCAAUUUUGAUUUUUGAAUAUACAACGAGCUUUUACAAAGCAGGUAUAUAAAUAAAAAACAAGAAUGCAUUGAAACCCUCAUAUAUUUUGUCAGGUUGACCUCGAAUCAGGUAGGAUUACCCGCUGAACUUAA
rnacentral:misc_RNA from 1 species